AUUGAACGCUGGCGGCAUGCCUUACACAUGCAAGUCGAACGGCAGCGCGUCCUUCGGGAUGGCGGCGAGUGGCGAACGGGUGAGUAAUACAUCGGAACGUGCCCGAGAGUGGGGGAUAACGCAGCGAAAGCUGUGCUAAUACCGCAUACGAUCUCAGGAUGAAAGCAGGGGACCGCAAGGCCUUGCGCUCACGGAGCGGCCGAUGGCAGAUUAGGUAGUUGGUGGGAUAAAAGCUUACCAAGCCGACGAUCUGUAGCUGGUCUGAGAGGACGACCCAGCCACACUGGGACUGAGACACGGCCCAGACUCCUACGGGAGGCAGCAGUGGGGAAUUUUGGACAAUGGGGGGAACCCUGAUCCAGCCAUGCCGCGUGCAGGAUGAAGGCCUUCGGGUUGUAAACUGCUUUUGUACGGAACGAAAAGGUCUUUUCUAAUAAAGAAGGCUGAUGACGGUACCGUAAGAAUAAGCACCGGCUAACUACGUG
rnacentral:rRNA from 1 species